AAGUUGAGAAGCGCGUGGAGUGAGUUUUAAUCGCAGAUCUUUCGCUAUCUUUGUUUGGUUGGAGUUGCGCAGCGUAGGUCCGUAGGUCAGUAUUCAGGACUCCGGAUCAACUUCGUCCUCGUCGAUUGAGUUCCCGUUUGAGAUGGCCGGAAACGUUGGUCGGAACCCUAAUCGUCCACGGUCGGAGAUGACGUCGGCUGCUGCACCAGAAAGAUUUUUUAUCCGUGUUCCUUGAUGAUGUGGUUGAUAUAUGGUACGGGGUAGUUGUACGAAUGAUUACCCCUAGGAGAAUGCAAAUGCAUUGGCGGGAUAUGCUUAACAAAGUGGAUUGCGGGGUCUUUGCUAUGCGGCACAUGGAGACCUUCUUGGGGGCAAUUGGUAAAUGCUUGGGAUUGUGGUCUGCGCAAGGGUGAUAGUAGGGGCGUCGAUUUAUUGAGGGGAAGUUAUAUGCACCAACUUUUGUCGGUUGAGUUAAACAUACAUCAUUCGAAAAACAUUCAGAAUGCAGUUGAAUACCGUGACGUUAGGGUGAAACAUAGAUACGAUUAUUUGGGUGGAGCUAGGUCACUAGCUAUUAAGCUUACUUUGUUUAGUUUUAGUUUUGUAUUUAGAUUAUGGUAUUCAGGAGCUUAUUUUUUGAUUCAUUUGGCACAUUUUAUCUGAAUAAAUGGGUAUUCGAAUUCGCAA